UACGUAGGGUGCAAGCGUUGUCCGGAAUUAUUGGGCGUAAGGAGCUCGUAGGCGGUCUGUCGCGUCGGAUGUGAAAAUCCAGGGCUCAACCCUGGACCUGCAUUCGAUACGGGCAGACUAGAGUUCGGCAGGGGAGACUGGAAUUCCUGGUGUAGCGGUGAAAUGCGCAGAUAUCAGGAGGAACACCGGUGGCGAAGGCGGGUCUCUGGGCCGAAACUGACGCUGAGGAGCGAAAGCGUGGGGAGCAAACAGG
rnacentral:rRNA from 1 species